UACGUAGGUGGCAAGCGUUGUCCGGAUUUACUGGGCGUAAAGAGCGCGCAGGCGGCUGGUCAAGUCCGAUGUGAAAGCUCCCGGCUUAACUGGGAAACGGCAUCGGAAACUGAUCGGCUUGAAGGUGGGAGAGGGUAGUGGAAUUCCCGGUGUAGUGGUGAAAUGCGUAGAUAUCGGGAGGAACACCAGUGGCGAAGGCGACUACCUGGCCCGCACUUGACGCUGAGGCGCGAAAGCUAGGGGAGCAAACGGG
rnacentral:rRNA from 1 species